CCUACGGGUGGCAGCAGUGAGGAAUAUUGGUCAAUGGACGCAAGCCUGAACCAGCCAUGCCGCGUGCAGGAAGACGGCUCUAUGAGUUGUAAACUGCUUUUGUACGAGGGUAAACGCAGAUACGUGUAUCUGUCUGAAAGUAUCGUACGAAUAAGGAUCGGCUAACUCCGUGCCCGCAGCCGCGGUAAUACGGAGGAUUCAAGCGUUAUCCGGAUUUAUUGGGUUUAAAGGGUGCGUAGGCGGUCGGAUAAGUUAGAGGUGAAAUCCCGAGGUUCAACUUCGGAAUUGCCUCUGAUACUGUUCGGCUAGAGAGUAGUUGCGGUAGGCGGAAUGUAUGGUGUAGCGGUGAAAUGCUUAGAGAUCAUACAGAACACCGAUUGCGAAGGCAGCUUACCAAGCUACUUCUGACGUUGAGGCACGAAAGCGUGGGGAGCAAACAGGAUUAGAUACCCGAGUAGUC
rnacentral:rRNA from 1 species